rnacentral:rRNA from 1 species
GGGCCCGCACAAGCGGUGGAGUAUGUGGUUUAAUUCGAUGCAACGCGAAGAACCUUACCAGGGUUUGACAUCCUGCGAAUGCUUUGUAAUGAAGCAGUGCCUUCGGGAGCCAGGAUACAGGUGCUGCAUGGCUGUCGUCAGCUCGUGUCGUGAGAUGUUCCGUUAAGUCGGAUAACGAGCGCAACCCUUACCCUUAUUUGCCAGCGAUUCGGUCGGGAACUAUAAGGGGACUGCCGGUGAUAAACCGGAGGAAGGUGAGGACGACGUCAAGUCAUCAUGGCCCUUACGAGUAGGGCUACACACGUGCUACAAUGGGGAAUACAGACGGACGCUAAGCCGCGAGGUGGUGCU